GAUGAAGAACGUAGCGAACGUGCGAAACGUAAUGUGAAUUGCAGAAUUCAGUGAAUCAUCGAAUCUUUGAACGCAUCUUGCGCUCCUUGGUAUUCCGAGGAGCAUGCCUGUUUGAGUGUCGUGAAUACUCUCAACUUCAACCCUUUUUUCGGAAAGGGAGGAAGGCUGGACUUGGGUGUUUGUUGAAGUGCGAGCUUCGACUCAUCCUAAAUGCAUUAGCGAUCUGCCUCGAUCACACACAAUGUGAUAAUUAAAACUAAAGCAUUGUUUAAUGAUCAAGUCGAGACUGCUUCUAACUGUCGCAAGACAAUAACGUGCAUACAUUUGUGCAUGUCAUUUGACCUCAAAUCAGGUAGGACUACCCGCUGAACUUAAGCAUAUCAAUAAGCGGAGGA
rnacentral:misc_RNA from 1 species